UGCAUGGAUUUUGUGGAGCGGUAAAUGUCUUUCACUAACAAACUCAAACCUAAACCAUUCUUACCGUUUAUGUUGGGUUUCCAGACAUUCCAUACUAUGACUGUUUAGGAGUCUAUGACACUCCCCAGAGCCGUUUGCACCUGACCCUGCUCACCUGCCUGUUCCUGCUUCUGUCUGCGCUGGGUCUAGCACUGUACUGCACGGACCGCCGGAGACCCCAGCGUGCCUGCGAAGAGCUGCAGACGGCACUGGCUGUGUACCUGCUUCAGUUCAAACAGAUCGUCUGGGCCUGCUGGAUCUGGCUGACCAUGCAAUGACCAUAACUGACCACACGGGCCAGCAACAGUCAGGAAAAAAAAAAAAAAAACAUAAAAGGUCAGGAUGUUUUUUGAAUGACUGUGGAGGAAAUUGAAGAUAAAGAAUGGUCCUCUUGUUUUUUAUUGCUUUAUUUUCACUGUUAUAAUCAGACUGGCCACCAGUCAAAUUUUCUGAGGAUGUUCAACAUCCACCUCUUUUAUUUUGUGGCUGAUUAAAGGCCAUGUGCUUUACACACCAUUAAGGUAUGGUGUGCCUUUUUGCCCUUUAUGGUGGCAUAGCUAAUGCCACAUCCUCAUUAUACUGAGCCGUGUAUAUUUAGAUCUCUGUAUGUAGCUGUUUUUCCUCGUAUAGCGGUUCUGGGUGAUAUGUUUUAAAGGAAUAGUUCACCAAAAAUGAAAAUUUGCUGAACAUUUACUCAUCCUCAGGCCAUCCGAUAUGUAGAUGAGUUUGUUUCUAUAUCGGAACAGAUUUGUAUAAAUUUAGCAUUACAUCACUUGCUCACCAGUGGAUCCUCUGUAGUAAAUGGGUGCCAUCAGAUUAUCAGACCCAAAAUCAGUCUGGCUUUACAGAUUGUGCACACUGUAUUCUCUAUGAACCAAUGUAUCACAUUUUAAUGUCCAAAACUACUUCAUUUAUUCAAUGCUUUUAUUUUUAAUGCACUUGCUGUACAUAAUGUGGUUGAAUGUAUCUGUGGAAUGCAAGACAAUGCUAUUUAUUUAACUAAUAAUCAAAUAGGUUUAGAAUACAAAUAUGCGUUUUAUGCAUUAAUCAAACAUGUAAAUGACACUAAUUAUUGUAUAGAAUAUAUUUCAAUGUAAAUGAGAAAAGAGAACUGGCACAAUUGACGACACCUUUAGCAUUUAUCUACUUUACAAGAAACGAAGGGCAAAGCUGUUCUGUUAAGCACAAACAUUUCCAUCUGCCAUUAAUUCUCUCAGAAAGAGAUAUAAGACUGUUGAAGGAUGAAUUGGCCAUAUAUUGUGUCAUGCACUGCUAGAUUCAACUGGCAAAUGAAAGAAUGCCAUUUUAAAUAGCUGAACGCUUUAUGAUACUCGCACUAUUUAAGUUUCUAUUUUACAUAAACCUUUACCAGCAUCUUGGCUUAAGCCUAAUAAUGGUGCAUUCAUUUGUUUUACUAUGUUUUAUAAGAAGUUUCUUUUUCUAUCUUUUUUUACUGUUCCACUCAAGUUUUACAUGUUUAGUCUCUUAAUCUUUCUUUAUAGAAACAGCUGUUCAGUAUCUAUUUUUCUAGUUUUUGGGCAAGCAUUUUCUAUCACAUUCUAUGAGCCUUUGGUUUCUAGUGUCAAAAUUGCUUAUUUUCCAUUAGCACACAAGUUAACAAUGCAUUGCUUGAAUUAAAGACAGUACACCCAAAAUUGAAAACUCUGUCAUCGUGAAGAGAUAUUAUACACACACA
ensembl:lncRNA